UACAGAGGGGGCUAGCGUUAUUCGGAAUUAUUGGGCGUAAAGGGCGCGUAGGCGGCCUGCUAAGUCGAACGUGAAAUCCCCCGGGCUCAACCCGGGAACUGCGUCCGAGACUGGCGGGCUUGAAUUCGGGAGAGGGAUGCGGAAUUCCAGGUGUAGCGGUGAAAAUACGUAGAUAUCUGGAGGAACACCGGUGGCGAAGGCGGCAUCCUGGACCGAUAUUGACGCUGAGGCGCGAAAAGCCAGGGGGGAGCAAAACGGG
rnacentral:rRNA from 1 species